UCUCGCACCUACAGAGAGAGAGUGAAUCUAUUCACCAUCUCUUCAAGAAUGGUUUUGAAAGUGGGGAAUUGGGCACCGUUCUUAAUGAAAUUCCCAUAUCUACUUCCAUUUCUAUUUCUCCAGUUUCUUCUAUUUCUCCUUGAAUCGUACUUGUUUCAUUCCCUUUGAUAUCUUCCACUCCUCCUUCAACUUUGACCCCCAUUCCUUUUUCAGCCGCCGUGCCUAUUCCUUCUACUCCUGCUUUGGUUUCUGCCAUUCCUGUUAUUUUCACCUCUUCUACAACUCCUCCUACUACUAUUCCUUCU
rnacentral:lncRNA from 1 species